rnacentral:snRNA from 1 species
UCCUAUUCUUUGGCAAUAUGCCAAAAUUGGAAUGAUACUGAGAUUAGCAUGGCCCCUGUACAUGGACAACACACAAAUUCAUGAAGUAUUCCGUAUUUUC